rnacentral:tRNA from 1 species
GGGGCUGUAGCUCGGUGGCAGAGCGCUUGCCUUUCAUGUGGGAGGCACUAGGUUCAAUCCUCAGCACCA